rnacentral:rRNA from 1 species
GACGUAGGGUGCAAGCGUUAAUCGGAAUUACUGGGCGUAAAGCGUGCGCAGGCGGUCUUGUAAGUUUGUCGUGAAAGCCCCGGGCUCAACCUGGGAAUGGCGAUGAAGACUGCAAGGCUUGAAUCUGGCAGAGGGGGGUAGAAUUCCACGUGUAGCAGUGAAAUGCGUAGAGAUGUGGAGGAACACCGAUGGCGAAGGCAGCCCCCUGGGUCAAGAUUGACGCUCAUGCACGAAAGCGUGGGGAGCAAACAGG